rnacentral:rRNA from 1 species
GACGAACGCUGGCGGCGUGCCUAACACAUGCAAGUCGAGCGAGUGAAUCUCCUUCGGGAGUGAAGCUAGCGGCGGACGGGUGAGUAACACGUGGGCAACCUGCCUCAUAGAGGGGAAUAGCCUUCCGAAAGGAAGAUUAAUACCGCAUAAGAUUGUAGCUUCGCAUGAAGUAGCAAUUAAAGGAGCAAUCCGCUAUGAGAUGGGCCCGCGGCGCAUUAGCUAGUUGGGGAGGUAACGGCUCACCAAGGCGACGAUGCGUAGCCGACCUGAGAGGGUGAUCGGCCACAUUGGGACUGAGACACGGCCCAGACUCCUACGGGAGGCAGCAGUGGGGAAUAUUGCACAAUGGGGGAAACCCUGAUGCAGCAACGCCGCGUGAGUGAUGACGGCCUUCGGGUUGUAAAGCUCUGUCUUCAGGGACGAUAAUGACGGUACCUGAGGAGGAAGCCACGGCUAACUACGUGCCAGCAGCCGCCGUAACAC